rnacentral:rRNA from 1 species
GACAGAGGGUGCAAACGUUGUUCGGAAUUACUGGGCGUAAAGCGCGUGUAGGCAGCUCGGAAAGUCGGGUGUGAAAGCCCUGGGUUUAACCCAGGAAGUGCACUCGAAACUUCCAAGCUUGAGUUCUGGAGAGGAAGGCGGAAUUCUCGGUGUAGAGGUGAAAUUCGUAGAUAUUGGCUGGAACACCGGUGGCGAAAGCGGCUCUCUGGCCCGGUUCUGACGCUGAGGCGCGAAAGCGUGGGGAGCAAACAGG